rnacentral:rRNA from 1 species
GACGAACGCUGGCGGCGUGCUUAACACAUGCAAGUCGAACGGAAAGGCCCUGCUUGCAGGGUACUCGAGUGGCGAACGGGUGAGUAACACGUGGGUGAUCUGCCCUGCACUUCGGGAUAAGCUUGGGAAACUGGGUCUAAUACCGGAUAGGAGCCAUCUUUAGUGUGGUGGUUGGAAAGUUUUUUCGGUGUAGGAUGAGCUCGCGGCCUAUCAGCUUGUUGGUGGGGUAAUGGCCUACCAAGGCGGCGACGGGUAGCCGGCCUGAGAGGGUGUACGGCCACAUUGGGACUGAGAUACGGCCCAGACGCCUACGGGAGGCAGCAGUGGGGAGUAUGGCACAAUGGGCGCAGGCUUGAUGCAGCGACGCCGCGUGGGGGAUGAAGGCUUUCGGGUUGUAAACUCCUUCCGCUAGGGACGAAGCUUUUUGUGACGGGCCCUAGAUAAGAAGCACGGGCUAACUACGUG